UGGAUCCAGACUUUGAUUAUGGCUCAGGAUGAACGCUGGCGGCGUGCUUAACACAUGCAAGUCGAACGGGGGUCAUACGCAGACGAGACUUCGGUCGGAUCUUGUGUGAUCCUAGUGGCGGACGGGUGAGUAACGCGUGGGUAACCUGCCAUAUACAGGGGGAUAACACUUAGAAAUAGGUGCUAAUACCGCAUAAGCGCACAGUACCGCAUGGUGCAGUGUGAAAAACUGAGGUGGUAUAUGAUGGACCCGCGUCUGAUUAGCUUGUUCGGGGUAACGGCCCACCAAGGCGACGAUCAGUAGCCGGCCUGAGAGGGUGGACGGCCACAUUGGGACUGAGACACGGCCCAAACUCCUACGGGAGGCAGCAGUGGGGGAUAUUGGACAAUGGGGGGAACCCUGAUCCAGCGACGCCGCGUGAGUGAAGAAGUAUCUCGGUAUGUAAAGCUCUGUCAGCAGGGAAGAAAGAAGACGGUACCUGACCAAGAAGCCCCGGCUAACUACGUGCCAGCAGCCGCGGUAAUACGUAGGGGGCAAGCGUUAUCCGGAAUUACUGGGUGUAAAGGGAGCGCAGACGGUCAUGCAAGUCUGGAGUGAAAGGCGGGGGCCCAACCCCCGGACUGCUCUGGAAACUGUGAGACUGGAGUGCAGGAGAGGCAGGCGGAAUUCCUGGUGUAGCGGUGAGAUGCGUAGAUAUCAGGAGGAACACCGGUGGCGAAGGCGGCCUGCUGGACUGUAACUGACGUUGAGGCUCGAAAGCGUGGGGAGCAAACAGGAUUAGAUACCCUGGUAGUCCACGCCGUAAACGAUGAUCACCAGGUGUCGGUGGGUAUGGACCCAUCGGUGCCGAAGCCAACGCAUUAAGUGAUCCACCUGGGGAGUACGUUCGCAAGAAUGCAACUCAAAUGA
rnacentral:rRNA from 1 species